UGGGGAAUAUUGCACAAUGGGCGCAAGCCUGAUGCAGCAACGCCGCGUGAACGAUGAAGGUCUUCGGAUCGUAAAGUUCUGUUGCAGGGGAAGAUAAUGACGGUACCCUGUGAGGAAGCCCUGGCUAAAUACGUGCCAGCAGCCGCGGUAAUACGUAUGGGGCGAGCGUUGUCCGGAAUUAUUGGGCGUAAAGGGUACGUAGGCGGUUUUUUAAGUCAGGUGUCAAAGCGUGGAGCUUAACUCCAUUAAGCACUUGAAACUGAAAGACUUGAGUGAAGGAGAGGAAAGUGGAAUUCCUAGUGUAGCGGUGAAAUGCGUAGAUAUUAGGAGGAAUACCGGUGGCGAAGGCGACUUUCUGGACUUUUACUGACGCUGAGGUACGAAAGCGUGGGGAGCAAACAGG
rnacentral:rRNA from 1 species